rnacentral:rRNA from 1 species
CCUACGGGAGGCAGCAGUGGGGAAUAUUGGACAAUGGGCGAAAGCCUGAUCCAGCCAUGCCGCGUGUGUGAAGAAGGCCUUCGGGUUGUAAAGCACUUUCAGUGGGGAAGAAAGCCUUGGGGCUAAUACCCUCGAGGAAGGACAUCACCCACAGAAGAAGCACCGGCUAACUCCGUGCCAGCAGCCGCGGUAAUACGGAGGGUGCGAGCGUUAAUCGGAAUUACUGGGCGUAAAGCGCGCGUAGGCGGUCUGAUAAGCCGGUUGUGAAAGCCCCGGGCUCAACCUGGGAACGGCAUCCGGAACUGUCAGGCUAGAGUGCAAGAGAGGAAGGUAGAAUUCCCGGUGUAGCGGUGAAAUGCGUAGAGAUCGGGAGGAAUACCAGUGGCGAAGGCGGCCUUCUGGACUGACACUGACGCUGAGGUGCGAAAGCGUGGGUAGCAAACCGGAUUAGAUACCCCGGUAGUC